rnacentral:lncRNA from 1 species
UUUUAGAGGGCUGCAAGGAAGGUCAGCUGUGCUGCAAAAAUUUUGCCUGGGCUCUUUUCAGUUAAUUUGUGCCUUCAGACCUCAGAUUUAUGUUUUAAGCUUAAACGAGCUCUUACACGUACGUAAGCUUAAUAAAUCUGGACCAAAGCCUCCUCUACUGUUACACUCAUUGCAACAGAAAGCGAACAAGAGAGGAAGAGGGGACAAGAAGUGCAACAGAGAAGAUCAUGCCUGAAAACAAUCCACUACUUUGAAUGCCAACGAGGCGAAGUUCAGCAGGUCAGAUAACCCCCGGCAGAAAGAAGGGGAACACAGCGGUAAGACUGUAUGCUUUCAUUGCCUCCGCUGAGCAAAAUUAAAACCACAUUACACCGAACGUUACCGGCGACACUGAGCAAAGGAACUGUGAGAGCCCUGCACUUGCUCACGUUGCCUCAGCAGGCAGGGAGGAGGGGAGGUUACGGAGCAGCUCUCCACCCGUCCCAUCUCAGCAGCUCCACAACGGGCACGGGAGAUCCGGCGGUCCCGGGACAGACACGGCAGCCCCAUCCCGGCACGGCACUGGGAAAGCCGCCAGGAGCCUCGCCCAAGCCCGGCCCCACCGAGGUGCCCUAAGGCUGCUCAGAGGGGCAGGCUGCGAGCGAUGGGAGUGCUGGGCGAGGAGGAGUUACCCGCUGUCCCCAACAACGUGCGACAAAGAAACCUUGGAGAUCCUCAGUAAAACGUACGGUGUGGUUGGUGUUACUGUGCUGUCAGAAAUAGCAAUUCCUACAUGGAAAAGGAUGGAAGUGUGGAGCAGUAGCGUUGCAAAACAGGACCAGCUGAACCAGCAGCUUAGAUCCGCUGGGGCCUGCCGUGCUCAGGACACAUCAGGACUGCCAGCAUAGGAUGAUGUCACCGCUACAGAAACUGAAGUGGGAUCCUGCAGCAAUUCAGCCUCAAAAGUCUCAGACCGCAUCUCUAGGCAAGUACUCGUUGUGUUAAAUUAUUAUCAAUACUUUUUAUAGUAGCGCUGUAACAGAGACCUGCUUCAAUUUCAAUAGUGUGUAACAAAAGUCCAAAUAAUAGGAAAAGUUUCAGAACAGAGGUGUGGUCUGCAAGGUAUUAAUAUCCCAUAUGAGGAAAGCUGGAAGGUAAACUAAAAAUGGAAGAAUGAAGUUACCCACAGAUGAGAGCUGGGAAGUAAGCUGACAAAGGCCUGUACUGUCCACCUUUUUUAAAGAUCAAUGCAAACUUUUAUUUUCUAUAAAUAAUUUAAUAAAUACUUUUGUUUUACAAUGAUACAAUAAAUGACAAAUUCAUAGCAAAUGAGUCACAAAGAAUUUAGGAUCAGUAUACUUUAAUAAGGUAUCAGUGUCAAAAUACAUUUCCUUAUCAAAUUAAAGUUCCCAUAUAGUUAUAAUAUUGUCAAUAAGAAUUCAGCAAUAUAGAUUAUGAAAUAAUUAUGAUAAAAAGUAUGAUUAAUAUUAAGACAGGGAAUAUUUUUCCAGAGUGUUUUAGUAAACUGUUAGGCUAUAUAACAUUUUUAAUGCUGAAACUACACAAAUAAGAAACAGAAAAAAAGCAGUAUUCAAGUGUCUUUAGUCUUUGAUGCCUUUAAGUCCUUGCCACUGAAAAAUGUCAAAUCUGGCUUGCCAAUUUUCAUUCAUUACAUGUUGACUCUUACGCUAUCCUUUUCCCAUAUAGGAAUAAAUUCACUUUAUGAGUAGCUUAUUUUUGGUAAAAAGAAAAAAAGAGCAUAAAACAAAACAACUCUUGAAAGACCUGCCUGCAAUAAGGACUAUUGUAAUUAUUUUUUAACAUUAUAUACCACUACUAACAUAAGAUCUUUC